AUGAGUACCUUUACGCUUUGCCGAAAUGUAAGGGGCCAUUUUAGGAUUCCAUUUCUUAAUACCAUGACCAAAAUGAACUCCUGCUUCUAUCAUCUCUUUCAAAUUAAUGUUCCAAUAUCUUCUUGUCAUUAUGUUAAUAAAAAGUGGUUCAGUGGUAUGUUAACGAAUUGGUCGAUUACGAAAACUAGACUUUCUCAAUUUAGAGACUUAAGAGCAGAAGAAAAAAUGGGAAAAUUCCACCAUCUCCCAAAAAGAGAUGUGGCAAUCUUGAAGAGAAAAUUAUCUACCUUGCAAAGGUAUCUCGGCGGGAUCAAAUAUAUGACGAGAUUGCCAGACAUUGUGAUCGUCCUUGAUCAGCAAAAAGAGUAUAUAGCUCUUCGGGAAUGUGCCAUUUUGGGGAUUCCUACUAUUUCUUUAGUCGAUACAAAUUGUGACCCGGAUCUCGCGAAUAUAUCGAUUCCAGCCAACGAUGACACUAUGACUUCAAUUCGAUUGAUUCUUAACUAA
rnacentral:rRNA from 1 species